rnacentral:lncRNA from 1 species
AUGACCUGAAGCAGGGUCUGGGCCCAUCAGGAAGCGAUGGCCCACGGAAACUGACCUACAAUAAGUACAAGCUCAAGGAUUCGGUCUACAUCUUCCGGGAAGGGGCUCUGCCACCCUAUCGACAGAUGUUCUACCAGCUGUGUGAUUUGAAUGUGGAAGAGUUACAGAAAAUUGUUCACCGCAAUGAUGGGACAGAGAGUGUAUGCACAGAGAAAGAUGGGUGGUGCCUCCCCAAGACCACAGACCACCUGAGAGACACUAUGUCACUCAUGAUUCUACAGACCAUCCGCUCUGAGAGGCCUGGUAAGGCUGAUCAUGGGAAAGAGCAGCUGAUGUUUGAAUCUGGAGAGGAGGAGGAGGAGGAGGAAGAAGAGGAGGAGUUCAAGCCCUCAGAUGGGAGUGAGAAUGAGAUGGAAACAGAGAUUCUGGAUUACGUGUGAGGAAGCACUGCUCCCGGGUGGCCAGGACAUGCUGGUAUGCCAUGGUGGGACAGUUGGGACAGGCUUAUGUCCCAUCCAGAGUGGUGAGAUGAGGACACUAGGCAACCCCAGGCUGUAUGCAGCCUGACUUCACCAAAGGACCAACUCUUCAAUUCCCUGAAAACACCCUGUCUCACAGCUUCCUUUUGUGCAACCAGAGACUGUCAAGUCCCUGCCAAGUGGGCCUCCAUGGAAGGUCCCCUGUGCAUAACCUCCCCCGGGCAGCAGCACCACUUCCUGAGGGUGCUGAGCCAAAGAUGGGCCAUUGCCUUGUCUCUUUGUGGCCUCAGUGCCUUGAACAGCCUGGCACACACAGUCCAGACACAGCCAUUCACAGCCAAAUGCCUCGAGCCAGCCCAUCCUCCUGACAAGAUUGAAGACCAUUGUUUGACUUGGCUCAAGUGAUUCCCCAGCUCACUGGGGAUCGGCCAGCCAGACCCGAGUCCUUGCUGACCCUGCUUCCUGCUGCUUCAAAGAACACUCAGCCCAAAGGCAGGAAGGAGCUCUUCCCCAAAGGCUCGCUAGCCUUGCCUGUGCCCAGAGGACUUCUU